AGUCGUACGCUUCUUUUUCCACCGGAGCUUGCUCCACCGGAAAAAGAAGAGUGGCGAACGGGUGAGUAACACGUGGGUAACCUGCCCAUCAGAAGGGGAUAACACUUGGAAACAGGUGCUAAUACCGUAUAACAAUCGAAACCGCAUGGUUUUGAUUUGAAAGGCGCUUUCGGGUGUCGCUGAUGGAUGGACCCGCGGUGCAUUAGCUAGUUGGUGAGGUAACGGCUCACCAAGGCCACGAUGCAUAGCCGACCUGAGAGGGUGAUCGGCCACAUUGGGACUGAGACACGGCCCAAACUCCUACGGGAGGCAGCAGUAGGGAAUCUUCGGCAAUGGACGAAAGUCUGACCGAGCAACGCCGCGUGAGUGAAGAAGGUUUUCGGAUCGUAAAACUCUGUUGUUAGAGAAGAACAAGGAUGAGAGUAACUGUUCAUCCCUUGACGGUAUCUAACCAGAAAGCCACGGCUAACUACGUGCCAGCAGCCGCGGUAAUACGUAGGUGGCAAGCGUUGUCCGGAUUUAUUGGGCGUAAAGCGAGCGCAGGCGGUUUCUUAAGUCUGAUGUGAAAGCCCCCGGCUCAACCGGGGAGGGUCAUUGGAAACUGGGAGACUUGAGUGCAGAAGAGGAGAGUGGAAUUCCAUGUGUAGCGGUGAAAUGCGUAGAUAUAUGGAGGAACACCAGUGGCGAAGGCGGCUCUCUGGUCUGUAACUGACGCUGAGGCUCGAAAGCGUGGGGAGCAAACAGGAUUAGAUACCCUGGUAGUCCACGCCGUAAACGAUGAGUGCUAAGUGUUGGAGGGUUUCCGCCCUUCAGUGCUGCAGCUAACGCAUUAAGCACUCCGCCUGGGGAGUACGACCGCAAGGUUGAAACUCAAAGGAAUUGACGGGGGCCCGCACAAGCGGUGGAGCAUGUGGUUUAAUUCGAACCAACGCGAAGAACCUUACCAGGUCUUGACAUCCUUUGACCACUCUAGAGAUAGAGCUUCCCCUUCGAGGGCAAAGUGACAGGUGGUGCAUGGUUGUCGUCAGCUCGUGUCGUGAGAUGUUGGGUUAAGUCCCGCAACGAGCGCAACCCUUAUUGUUAAUUGCCAUCAUUCA
rnacentral:rRNA from 1 species